GACCAAUCGACUUCUCCAGAUAUAUUCCUCUCCCCUACCAAACUUGUGAAAUUCAUCCAAAUCGAUUAGAGAGAUGUCCAUGGCUGGUUUCAGUCGACUUCACAAUAUCGAGGACCACCAAGGGUCGGUGUCACACGCCGCCGUGAAUGCGUGACUUGAAUCUCGGUCCCGCUAAAUGAAAGCGACGGUUUGAUUUUGAUUUUGUGGAUGACGAAACACCUUCAGCUUGCUAAUGACUCUUGAGAGGUAUAAGAAAUGCAAUUAUGGAGCACCUAAGAUCAAUGUGUAUGCUAGGGAGGCAUGGGUAAGCAUUACUUUUUUUAUGAAAGAUGCAUUGUAAUUCUCCCCUCUUUAGAGUUAUAUUUUUUAUAUUAUGGUGUCUGGAUGUGUCUUUAACUACUGCAACUUAAAGAAUAAUAACCAAACACUUAGUGGCUAUUUUUGUUCAAGAUCAAUGACUUUUUUAUAUAUUCUAUUAGUGGCUAACUAGCUAAUAAACUAAUAAUAAAUUCUUUGUUGUGUUUGUUGCUUUUGCUAUAAGAUUUUCUUUGAUCAAUAACAAUGUCUUUAAAUGUUGUUUUAUGAUUUUCUUUAUUUUUUCCUGAGGUUUGUGGAGGUAAAAGAUGAUUAAAGAGUGCUUAUGACACGCAAAAAGUUAAACUCAUCUGGAUCAACGUCAGGUGUCCACGUCAGCCAGGAGGUACUGAAUGCGGCUACUAUGUGAUGGAGU
rnacentral:lncRNA from 1 species